rnacentral:rRNA from 1 species
GACGAACGCUGGCGGCGUGCCUAAUACAUGCAAGUAGAACGCACAGUUUAUACCGUAGCUUGCUACACCAUAGACUGUGAGUUGCGAACGGGUGAGUAACGCGUAGGUAACCUGCCUGGUAGCGGGGGAUAACUAUUGGAAACGAUAGCUAAUACCGCAUAAUAUUAAUUAUUGCUUGAUAAUUAAUUUAAAGGUGCAAUUGCACCACUACCAGAUGGACCUGCGUUGUAUUAGCUAGUAGGUGAGGUAACGGCUCACCUAGGCGACGAUACAUAGCCGACCUGAGAGGGUGAUCGGCCACACUGGGACUGAGACACGGCCCAGACUCCUACGGGAGGCAGCAGUAGGGAAUCUUCGGCAAUGGACGGAAGUCUGACCGAGCAACGCCGCGUGAGUGAAGAGGGUUUUCGGAUCGUAAAGCUCUGUUGUAAGAGAAGAACGGGUGUGAGAGUGGAAAGUUCACACUGUGACGGUAUCUUAACAGAAAGGGACGGCUAACUACGUG